AAGCCAGCCAAUUAAUCUGCUUAUCUGAAUGUUUCUGCAGAAGUGUAGAAAAAGUUGGCAAUAGUGAUGCCAUGUUAUGUGUCUUAAGGACAAAUGAGUCCCUGAAAAUGGCUAUAAUA
rnacentral:snoRNA from 1 species